rnacentral:ncRNA from 1 species
GCGAGUCCGAAUAGGGCGUUUCAGUAGCACGCUCAAGACCCGAAGCGGAGUGAUCUAGCCAUGGGCAGGUUGAAGCGGAGGUAAGACUUCGUGGAGGACCGAACCACCAGGGUUGAAAACCUGGGGGAUGACCUGUGGUUAGGGGUGAAAGGCCAAUCAAACUCCGUGACUAGCUGGUUCUCCCGAAAUGCAUUUAGGUGCAGCGUCGUGUGUUUCCUGCCGGAGGUAGAGCACGUGGAUAGGCGAGUGGGCCCGUACCGGGUUACUGACUUAGCCAAACUCCGAAUCGACGGUAAGUGAGAGCGCGGCAGUGAGAC